UGCAAACCUAUACUUCUUGUCUCUUUUAAAAGCCCCCACUCUAUUCAUCUACAGACACAAAACUUGUUUGACUUUCCUGCAUCAGGUUCCUCUUUUCAUAACAUGGCAAUGGAUAUUGUGUCUAAACUGGGUUUUAUCUUCAUGUUUGCUCUCACAGAAUUCUGUUGGUGUCAGACACUGACUGAGUCUGAGUCAGCAGUCAUUAAACCUGGAGGAUCUCACAGACUUACCUGUACAGCCUCUGGAUUUAGCAGUGACCAGGACUUGUCUUGGAUCAGACAGGCAGCAGGAGGAGGUCUGGAGUGGCUGGCAUACAUCUCAUCUGGCAGUACUAUAUACUACUCUCAGUCUGUUCAGGGACGGUUCACCAUCUCCAGAGACAACAGCAAGAAACAGAUGUAUCUGCAGAUGAAUAAUAUGAAGAAUGAAGACACUGCUGUAUAUUAUUGUGCAAGAAAGCCACAGUGA